GGCAGUGGUUCAGACGGGGCUGGGGCGUAGCGGUCGAGGUACCGGCGAGAGGAAAAUGCAGCACUGCGGUCGCGGCGAGGGGGAAGCCAAAAGGGGGGAGAAAGGGAGAGCCAGGGCAGUGAGAAAAGGAAUGCAGCUCGCCUCAGCAGUGAGACGACGGCUUGGGAAGCAGAAAACUCUCCCGAGAAGGUGAGGGAGCCGCAGCUGCCUCCCGGCUGGGCUGGACUGCUUUCCCCCAUCCCUCUGGAUCUGCUGGCAGCUCCCGCCAGUCGAAAGUUACCUGCUCUGCAGCAGAAGCAGCCGUACAAUCUCUUGCUCCCGAAUUAAACACAACUCUUAAUGAUGUAGCAUUAUCAACAAGGGACACUUGAUUGACUGAUCUAGGUAUGAUAUAUGUGCUUGGCGUCUAAAUUAAAUAUUAAGUGAAAUACUUAGCUCU